rnacentral:lncRNA from 1 species
UAAAGAAUCUUCCAAAAAUCUAACCCAACCCUCUCCUCUUUCAGUUAAAGAGCUUGCCCUAUCACUAUCUGUACGUGUAAAAAGCCAGCCUCUCUUCUUUUAUACCCCCUUUUAAGUACUGGAUGGACACAAUGAGAUCUCACCAAAGCUUUCUGUUCUCCAGGCUGAACAACGCCAACUCUACCUUUCCCCCUAGGAGAGGUCCCUCUAACCAUCUUCAUGUUCCUCCUCUGGACUCAUUCCAACAGGUCCAUGUCAUUUUUGCAGGGCUGAGGACCCCAGAGAUGGAUGCAGUACUGAAGGCGGGAUCUUGUGAAAGCAGAGUAGAGGGCGAGAAUCACCUCCCUCAGCCCCCUGGACUCACCUCUUUAGAGCUAACUCUUUUCUGGCCUCUCUCCAUACACCAGUCUAGCAAUAUACAAAAGGAUGAAAAUGCCAUUUUCAACAACAGGAACUGGACAAUAAGUCAGUGUCUUGUUCUGGGAUUCCCUGUGCCUUUGAAAAUU